rnacentral:rRNA from 1 species
ACUCAAAGGAAUAGACGGGGGCCCGCACAAGCGGCGGAGCAUGCGGAUUAAUUCGAUGCAACGCGAAGAACCUUACCUGGGUUUGACAUGGAGGAUUUAGCCGUCAGAGAUGGCGGGGCCGUAAGGGUUCUCUGCAGGUGGUGCAUGGCUGUCGUCAGCUCGUGUCGUGAGAUGUUGGGUUAAGUCCCGCAACGAGCGCAACCCUUGUCCUAUGUUGCCAGCAUGCUUCCCUUUGGGGGGUGGUGGGGACUCAUGGGAGACUGCCGGGGUCAACUCGGAGGAAGGUGGGGAUGACGUCAAGUCAUCAUGCCCCUUAUGUCCAGGGCUUCACGCAUGCUACAAUGGCCGGUACAGACCGUUGCGAUCCCGUGAGGGGGAGCGAAUCGGAAAAAGCCGGUCUCAGUUCGGAUUGGGGUCUGCAACUCGACCCCAUGAAGUCGGAGUCGCUAGUAAUCGCAGAUCAGCAACGCUGCGGUGAAUACGUUCCCGGGCCUUGUACACACCGCCCGU